rnacentral:rRNA from 1 species
GAUGAACGCUGGCGGCGUGCCUAAUACAUGCAAGUCGAGCGAACAGACGAGGAGCUUGCUCCUCUGACGUUAGCGGCGGACGGGUGAGUAACACGUGGAUAACCUACCUAUAUGACUGGGAUAACUUCGGAAAACCGGAGCUACUACCGCCUAAUAUAUUGAACCGCAUGGUUCAAUAGUGAAAGACGGUUUUGCUGUCACUUAUAGCUGGAUCCGCGCUGCAUUAGCUAGUUGGUAAGGUAACGGCUUACCAAGGCAACGAUGCGUAGCCGAGCUGAGAGGAUGAUCGGCCACACUGGAACUGAGACACGGUCCAGACUCCUACGGGAGGCAGCAGUAGGGAAUAUUCCGCAAUGGGCGAAAGCCUGACGGAGCAACGCCGCGUGAGUGAUGAAGGUCUUCGGAUCGUAAAACUCUGUUACUAGGGAAGAACAAAUGUGUAAGUAACUAUGCGCGUCUUGACGGUACCUAAUCAGAAAGCCACGGCUAACUACGUG